AUUGAACGCUGGCGGCAUGCCUUACACAUGCAAGUCGAACGGCAGCACGGGAGCAAUCCUGGUGGCGAGUGGCGAACGGGUGAGUAAUAUAUCGGAACGUGCCCGGUCGUGGGGGAUAACGUAGCGAAAGCUACGCUAAUACCGCAUACGAUCUACGGAUGAAAGCGGGGGGAUCGCAAGACCUCGCGCGAUUGGAGCGGCCGAUAUCAGAUUAGGUAGUUGGUGAGGUAAAGGCUCACCAAGCCGGCGAUCUGUAGCUGGUCUGAGAGGACGACCAGCCACACUGGGACUGAGACACGGCCCAGACUCCUACGGGAGGCAGCAAGUGGGGGAAUUUUGGACAAUGGGCGCAAGCCUGAUCCAGCAAUNCCGCGUGCAGGAUGAAGCCUUCGGUUGUUAACGUAG
rnacentral:rRNA from 1 species